UGCCUGGCCAGGUGGGCUUGGCCUUGUGCCCCCCUCCCAUGGUGGAGAAAAGCCCCUUCCUCUCACCUUUCCUUCCUAGAUCUUGGAGGCUGCAAGGAUCCAAACCCCCAACCAGUUUCCCCAGCCCAGUGCCGCCAUUCUAAAGAAGUACCUCAUCGACGUGGGAUACGACUUGGUUGAUGAUGCCGAACCUCCCACCUCCCCUCCCCAUUCCUCAUGCACCCCGUGCCAGAGCGAGGGCGAAGACCCCCCGACGCCACCUCUCUCCCCACAGCUAGGCAGGAGCCGAAGUGAGGACUUCGCUUCCUGCAACUCAGAAGGGGAUUCGCACAGGGAGCCCUGGGAAACAUCUGAAGAUCUGGUGCCAGAUUCCGAAAGUGAAGGAAGCACCUCCCCUUUUCAGGU